UAGGGAAUCUUCGUCAAUGGGGGCAACCCUGACCGAGCAACGCCGCGUGAGUGAAGAAGGUUUUCGGAUCGUAAAGCUCUGUUGUAAGAGAAGAACGUGUGUGAGAGUGGAAAGUUCACACAGUGACGGUAACUUACCAGAAAGGGACGGCUAACUACGUGCCAGCAGCCGCGGUAAUACGUAGGUCCCGAGCGUUGUCCGGAUUUAUUGGGCGUAAAGCGAGCGCAGGCGGUUUAAUAAGUCUGAAGUUAAAGGCAGUGGCUUAACCAUUGUUCGCUUUGGAAACUGUUAGACUUGAGUGCAGAAGGGGAGAGUGGAAUUCCAUGUGUAGCGGUGAAAUGCGUAGAUAUAUGGAGGAACACCGGUGGCGAAAGCGGCUCUCUGGUCUGUAACUGACGCUGAGGCUCGAGAGCGUGGGGAGCAAACAGG
rnacentral:rRNA from 1 species